CAACCAUAAGCUUAUUCCCAAAACUCUCUGACCCGCUGAGCCUUCCGCUAUUAAUGAUUUCCUAACUGGGGACCUCACAACGGCAUUCUUCGCCACGGGAUUUCUCACUCGGCCUGCACUGCCAAGGGGCUGCUCUUCACGGGUCAUGCCAAUUUCGGUUACGCCGGAGGUUGUGUGCCUGUGAACACGCAUCCUGCGUGGAAGCUGCAAGGUUCCAGCCCUCGGGAGGGGAGAAGCUACCGAACACACUCUCCAUCCCCAAUUAAGGCUUUGAUUACCUGAAGCGGAAAGCAUGAAGGCAUUCCUGUUCAUGAGACCUUGGCCAUCUUUCGCUCGCACCCUGCACCCUGCACCCCGGGGCGCUGGGGGCGGGGCGGGGCGGGGCGGGGGUGCAGGGGCGAGGGGGUGCGGCCGGGACACUCACUCACCGAAGGUCGUGCCGGCCUCGGGCCUGCUCACCGAGGACACGAUGACGAAGCCGAAGCCCUCGUUCUCGCCGCGCCGGAUCUCCACGUCGUAGGGCUGCACAGGCCGCGCUCACCACGCCGCUGCCGCCGCCGCCGCCGCUGCCGAUGCCGCUGGUGCUGCCGCUGCCAGAGCUCACCGUGUUCAGCGAGUUCUGGCUGCCCUGCGGGGUGCGCUUCUCCUCCGUCAGCGACGCCGGCUGGUUGCUGCUGUGAUGGGAGGAGGCCGGCGACGGCACCUCGUUCUCCGCUUUGGGGGCUGCGUGCCCCCCAGUGUGCAGGGGGACAGCGACGAGGAGGGAGCCCCAGCUCCUUCUCCCGGGCAGCAGCUGGGGACAGGAGCCCGGGUGCAAACCCCGCAAGAGCACAGCAGCAGCCUGACUGUCAGCACCGGCUCUCGGGCUCAUCGUGGCUGCCAGAGGCGCCCACUCGGAACUAGAUCCCGGGGCAUGGCCCACAGGACCGCGAGGAGCAGGGCAGGUGUGGCUGCACGUUUGUUUUUUUUUAGUAAUCUUUACACCCAAUGUAGGGCUCUAACUCAAUACCCCAAGAUCAACAGUUGCAUGCUCUUUGGACUGACCCAGUGAGGCGUCCCAAAAGUAACCACCUCUUGUUUGGUUCCUUCGGCUUCAUCUGGAGUCUGAAUCCUAAAUCCAAAUCCAGUCUCUUUUCUCCAGAGGAAGAUGUCCUGUUCUUGGCAGUCUGGAACUGCAGAGAAACAAAGAAGGAAGAGUAAGGUGAUUUCUCUCAGAAAAGGAAUUAAGGUGAACACAUAGGAACAAUCCUGAUGGUGCCUGAGCAGAUGACAGCUUUCCACCAUGGAAAGAAGCAGAAUUAUCUGGAUGGAUGACAAAACAGAGGACGCAAGGUGGAAACAAACAGUGGGACCGGUCAUUGAGCCCUAGGUUUCUUCAAAGAACUAAUCACUGUUUGAUAACUCCUAAUCAGGCCCAAGCCAUUAUCCUGGACUAAACCAGAAGUCAGUGUUGACCACUGUCCUUGGUAAUGUUGCCAGAGAAAUUAAGGAAAUUAAAACCAUUGUGUGUCAGACUAUAAAGUGGGUGCCCACCUCUGAGGAAAGAGCUGAUGCUGAGUCACAGUGACCGUGGAAACAGAAGCUCACUCUGAGAAAUUAGAAGCCCUGAUCCCUGGUCAGUCAUCUGAUGUUAUACCAAGUAGAGUAUGAAAGAAAAUAGCUUGACUUACAAGAGUUUUCAGUUUUUUAAAAAACGGCACUUUGUUCUCCCUUAAUCAAGAUCAGCAACCUAAUAAUUUGAUUUUGUUAGAUCAUUUUUUGCCAAAAGUUACUCUUGAUCAUCCCAAUAUUUCCUAAUAUUAAAAACUUUUACAAAG